rnacentral:rRNA from 1 species
ACGGGGCUAAACCAUGCACCGAAGCUGCGGCAGCGAACGUAUCACCCAAGACAACUUUGCGGAGUUGACGAUUGACGGAGCGAAGCGACGUCAAAGCGUUCAUUAAAGUCGAGUUGGCUUAGGGAUACGUUCGUUGGGUAGGGGAGCGUUCUGUAAGCCAGUGAAGGUGUGUCGUGAGGCAUGCUGGAGGUAUCAGAAGUGCGAAUGCUGACAUAAGUAACGAUAAAGCGGGUGAAAAGCCCGCUCGCCGGAAGACCAAGGGUUCCUGUCCAACGUUAAUCGGGGCAGGGUGAGUCGACCCCUAAGGCGAGGCCGAAAGGCGUAGUCGAUGGGAAACGGGUUAAUAUUCCCGUACUUGGUGUUACUGCGAAGGGGGGACGGAGAAGGCUAUGUUGGCCGGGCGACGGUUGUCCCGGUUUAAGCGUGUAGGUGUGUGUUCCAGGUAAAUCCGGUUCACUUUAACACUGAGGCGUGAUGACGAGGCACUACGGUGCUGAAGCAACAAAUGCCCUGCUUCCAGGAAAAGCCUCUAAGCAUCAGGUAACAUCAAAUCGUACCCCAAACCGACACAGGUGGUCAGGUAGAGAAUACCAAGGCGCUUGAGAGAACUCGGGUGAAGGAACUAGGCAAAAUGGUGCCGUAACUUCGGGAGAAGGCACGCUGACACGUAGGUGAAGUGAUUUACUCAUGGAGCUGAAGUCAGUCGAAGAUACCAGCUGGCUGCAACUGUUUAUUAAAAACACAGCACUGUGCAAACACGAAAGUGGACGUAUACGGUGUGACGCCUGCCCGGUGCCGGAAGGUUAAUUGAUGGGGUCAGCGCAAGCGAAGCUCCUGAUCGAAGCCCCGGUAAACGGCGGCCGUAACUAUAACGGUCCUAAGGUAGCGAAAUUCCUUGUCGGGUAAGUUCCGACCUGCACGAAUGGCGUAAUGAUGGCCAGGCUGUCUCCACCCGAGACUCAGUGAAAUUGAACUCGCUGUGAAGAUGCAGUGUACCCGCGGCAAGACGGAAAGACCCCGUGAACCUUUACUAUAGCUUGACACUGAACAUUGAGCCUUGAUGUGUAG